AUUAUAUAUAUAAAAGAGAAGAAGAACGAAUUUUAAAAUAAAAGACAAUAAUGAAACAUGAACGGAACAAGACCUGGUGUUUGGGAGAUGGUGGAAGGCAGGUUUGUAAGGAGUUUAAAGCAUUUGAAAGUUACUUUAUUCUUCAUCGGUGGUGUUGAUGAUUCCUGCUUGUUUCUGGGCUGUACGUAAGUCGGACUAAUCAUAUGGAGCCGUGUUUCGGGCAAGUCAGAUUCUACCUAGCUCGAGGUCAAUAGUAGUUCUUUUAAUUUGCGCGAUUUGGAUUCCAUUUGUUUAAUAUUAAUCUUGUAUAAAGAUCCGUCAAACAUACAUAUUCACCCAUAACACGUUUAGCUUGCACUAUAUACGUAAAAGGCAAAUCCAGACAUUUUGAAUUGUUUUUUAUAUUUUGUUUUGGGGUUUUAUUAAUAAUCAUACAUAUUACAUUAUGCAUCAAAAUUUAGUUGUUCAACUGAACAGAAUGUCCAAUUUUUUUCUUUUUUGGUGUACAGCAACAGAAUGACUUGGUUUGGACUAAUGGACACAACCAAGCUGUGUAACCUAAUCCUUUGCAAGUUUGCUCACAAUGGGGAUUGCACAGUCCAUAACAAUCGGCAUAAUCAAUAGAGCCUGCAGUUGCUUGUUCUGCAAACAAGACAAUAAUCAAAACAUUUAUUAUAAAAAUCCAAAACAAAACUAUGUGUACUUUUAACCAAUGUUGAAGUUAUAAAAUUGAGCUUCAACAUAAUAAAAAUAAUGUUUAAAUAGUUGAGAAUAUUAAGAAUGAGAAUGCUUGAUUAACCUGCAAUGACCAACAAAAACACUACUGCGAUGGUUCUAACAACAUCUCUAAAUCUGAUCUGCUCCAUUCUUUUUUUUUUUUUUUUGGAAGUAGAUGUUUAAUAUUUAUGUUUUGACGUUGAUAAAUUUUGCUAAAACCUUGUAGGUUAUAUAGGCUUUUAGAUCUCUAUAUAAUUUUAUUUUUGACAACAGGUCUCUACAUAAUUAAGGAAACUAAAUUUAGGAUAAGCAAAACUGACUCAUGUAUACAGUAGCAUAUCCAGUGUAAAGGUUGUUUGGGGGCAAAAUUUAUUAAAUUUUACUAUUAUCUUGAAAAGUAUUUUAUAUUUAUUACUAGAUAUAAAAUAUAUUAGAUUUUUAUUUAUAUAAAAAAGCACAAUUAAAACACAAUCUCUAUAUGUUUUAAAAUUAAUUAAGUGUAUAUUCUAUAUUGAAUUUUAAAUAUCUUAUUAUAUAAAGUUUUGUUCUUCAAAGUUAUAAUUGACAUGAUCGCGACACAUGGCAAUUAUAUAUUUAAGAUUUUGGCAUGUUAAUCUAUCUCACAAUUAAAAAUAUUUAUACUAAGAUAUUAAAGAAAAUGUUAUUAUAUAUAUUAUUUAAUAACAAUUUUUCUUUUUUUUUAAAAUCCUGAUAAAAAAAAUAGUUAUCGCAAAAAUGACUCAAGAUUGAUAAUUUUAUCAAGAAUCGCCAUCGCUGGAAAUGGAAACCGAAGAAAGCCUCUCUUCUUCCCGGUAAAACAGACCAGUUAGGAGACUGAACAGCUCUCAGCCACAAGAAAUCAUCAACAUUGGCCCAGCUCUCAGUCUCCUCCUCCAACCCUGCCAUCUUCAAAUCCUCCUCAAUCCCUCCAUAAUCCAAACAGUACGGCGCGAAUCUAACUCCAUUACUAUCUUCAAUUAUCAGACGACUCCUCACUCUCAAUUAGAAAUCACACUUCUUAGCACGAAGGAUUCUAAUCUGAUGCGACGCCAUCACAAACACAGAAUCUUCAACAUCGUUUAUAAGAAUCGAACCGAUCAUUCAGAGCUGGACCUGAGAUUUUAAGGGCCUAUUCAAAAAUAUACAUAUAACAUAUAUAUAUAGAUAUAUAUAUAUAUAUAUAUAUAGAUAUAUAGUUUUUUUAUAUUAUAAAAUUUUGGUUAUUAUAUAUUUUCAAAUGAAAACAAUUGAAUCUGUUGAUCGUUUGGAAUCGGCGAAUCGGGAGAGGAACGAUGAGAUCGAUUCGAACGUGGAAGAAGAAGAGUGAGGUGAAUCAGAUUUUCUAGCGUGGUGGCGAGCAGAGAAGCGUUGGAGCAUGUCAUGGUGCUUCUUCACCAACGCCUCGUCUAGGGUUUCGGUAGCGAAGCUCCGAUUGUCGUCUUCCAUGAUGGCGUUUGUGUGAUAUUGCAAUUUGUGUUUGCUGACGUAAGCCCCAGAUUAUUUUAAUAUUACAGAAUAUACCAUUAUCAAUAGUACAAUUGCAUUCCCCCCCCCCAUUUAGCCGGCUUGUAUAAAAAUUACGUCACCCAUAAUACGUUUAGCUUGCUCCGUAAAAUAUAAACAAGGCAAAUCUUGAGGAAGCCUACAGUUUCCGUUGUCAACACUUGGUCAACUCAGUCAUCGCAUGUUCAUCGUCAACAUAAUGGUUGUGCUGACUUAUUAGCAAAAAAAUCUAUUAUUUCUCCGACUGAUUGGAGCUUGUUCCAAUUUUGUCCAGGUUUUUUGUACAACAAUAUUUGUGCUGACAAUAAUUAAUAAAAAAUUUUAGCCAGAAAAAUAAAACAAGGCAAAUCUUGACAUUUUGUAACUUUUAAAAAUAUUAUUUUAUUUUUAUUGCUGGAGGCUUUAGAGACUACUAUUACAUCAAAAGUUUAGUUGUUCAAUUGAACAAAUUGUCCAAAGAUUUUCUUCCUUGGUGUACAGCAACAGCCAGAUUUGAAUCUAAAAGCUGAGCAAAACCAACCUGUGUAACCUUUACUUUUGCAAGUUUGUUCACAAUGGUUAUUGCACGGUCCAUAACAGUCGGCAUCAACCGAGGUUGCAUUAGCUUGUUCUACAAAAGAUAAUAAAAGUUAUUUAAUUUAUAAAAUCCAAAAAGACGAAGUAUGUAUAUUUAUAACUAAUGUCAAAGUUUAACGUAAGCUUGUACAUAAUAAGACCAAAAAUUUUAGGAUGCUUGAUUAACCUGCAAUGACCAACAAAAAAAUUAUUGCGAUGGUUAAAACAACAUCUUUAAAUCUGAUCUGGUCCAUUUUUUUUGACGUAGUUAUUUUUUUCUUAAAUCUGUAUGUGUAGCGUUUGUAAAUAUUUUCUUAUGUUUUGAUGUUGAUGAACUUUCUUAAAAGCUAGUAGGUCUUUAUAUAGUUAAACGGGUGGUAUAAACUUGGAAACUUUGCCUAGAAUUUAUCAUAUAUAUAGUUAUUUGUUAAGAAAAGGAAACUAAAUUUAGGAGGUGUUAUUGAAUUUGGUAAUUUAAUAGAAUUUGAUGGAAUUUAAAUUUGAAAUUAAAUCUAGUGUUAUUCAAUUGUGGAUUUGCUAAAAGUGAAUUAAAAUCCACUGUUAUUCAAUGUCCAUCAGAAUUUAUUAGAAUUUGGUUACGCUGGAUUUGGAUGUAUUUUUUUUAUAGAGAAACAAGAGUAAACAAAUCUGAAACUUUUUGUCUUUUUUUUUUAAAGCUGAUUUAUUAUGAUCUGAAAUUUUUUGUCUAGUAAAAGUAAGAAACAAAGUUUCUUCAACAAAAUAAAUGACUACGUGGUUGCUUUUAUUGAUAUAACAAAUGCAACUACAACAUUCAAAGCCAAUUAUCCAACAUAUGUAAACACAUAACGAUUAUGCCCAAAGGAGUAUAUAUAAAAGAGAAGAAGAACGAAUUGUAGAGAAUAAAAUAAAAGACAAUAAUGAAACAUGAAAGGAACAAGACUUGGUGUUUGGGAGAUGGUGGAAGGCAGGUUUGUAAGGAGUGUAAAGCAUUUGAAAGUUACUUGUAUUCUUCAUCGGUGGUGUUGAUGAUUCCUGCUUGUUUCUGGGCUGUACGUAAGUAGGACUAAUCAUAUGGAGCCGUGUUUCGGGCAAGUCAGAUUCUACCUAUCUCGAGGUCAAUAGUAGUUCUUUUAAUUUGCGCGGUUUGGAUUCCAUUUAUUUAAUAUUAAUCUUGUAUAAAGAUUCAUCAAACAUACAUAUUCACCCAUAAGACCAUGAUUAUCGGGAUCUUAGAAGGGAAUUUUAGUUUAAUUAGGAAUUAAAGAAUUAAAAAAAUGGCAAUUACCAUAAAUGACGUAUCUUUAUUAGUAAUCAUACAUAUUACAUGAUGCAUCAAAAUUUAGUUGUUCAACUGAACAGAAUGUCCAAUUUUUUUUUUCUUUUUGGUGUACAACAACAGCCUGACUUGCCUCUGAAAGAUGGACAAAACCAACCUGUGUAACCAAAUCCUUUGCAAGUUUGGUCACAAUGAGGAGUGCACAGUCCAUAACAAUCGCAUCAUCGAUAGAGACUGCAGUUGCUUGUUCUUCAAACAAGACAAUAAUCAAAACAUUUAUAUUAAAAACCCAAAACAAAACUAUGUAUACUUUUAAUUUAACCAAUGUAGAAGCUAUAAAAUUAAGCUUCAACAUAAUUAAAAUAAUGUUUAAAUGGUUAAGAAUAUUAAAAAUGAGAAUGCUUGAUUAACCUGCAAUGACCAACAAAAAAACUAUUGCCAUGGUUCUAAGUUCUAACAACAUCUCUAAAUCUGACCUGCUCCAUUCUUUUGUUUUUUUGGAAGUAGAU
rnacentral:lncRNA from 1 species